AUGAAUGAACAGUGUACUUACGGUUUUGCCCCCAUCUUUUCUGGGCGUUUUACACUCUUGCCCCUGGCUGCUUUGCUGUCUGUAUCGGACACCUGUUAUUUCGUUUGUUUGCCACGGACCCUGCCACCGCUUUGACCUGUGUGUUUUGGUAGUUGACCCAUCGGCAGAAAGAGAGAGGCGUUGAUCUGUCUCCCUUGGUAGUUGAUCCAUAGACUGAGAGACUGAGAGAGAGAGAGAGAGAGAGAGGAGUUUGAUCCACAGAGAAACAGAGAGAUAGAGAAAGGGCGAAGAGUUUGCAUGAUCGAGCCCGGAGUUCAGUAGCCUGGAGAUUUGACGAUUUUUGUCUCACGGAUAUAGGUCGUGGCUUGCUAAUCAGUUUUGGUUCUGCUUCUUUAACAUCCCUGUUUGAUAUCUUCAAGAUUUAUUCACAUGUCAAUGAUUUGCUGUGGAUAAGAAGGAAAGAGGGACUGUGAUAGAGGUCGAAAGAGACUCUGAGAGCGAAGAGGCUCUUUUGCUUUAACCAAAACACUCCAAUAGCUCAAGUGAAACUCGCCUGCAGUCUAUUUGUUCUUUUGAUUUGACGAUGAAGGUCUCUAAUCUGACGAUCCGUACUAUAGCAUUUAAAAGAAACUUGAAAAACAAACACAUUCAUCAGAAGCUUGGUUGAGACGGAGGGACGAGAAGAUCGAGGAGGACGAAGAUGGAACUGGGUCUUAAGAUACUCCAAAAUGGUCCAAGUGAGGGAUAGAAGAGGGGGGAAGAUCUCGGCGAGAAUAGACCGGGUGGAAGGUAUUUUUGCUUCUUUGGUGGCUUUGAUGUUCAAUUGCGUGAAGAAAGAUGACAUUGAUUACUCUCCUUAAGAAGAGGGCGAGUGGAGAUAUUGAAGGGUUGAGUAGUUUUGAUGGGGAUGUUCUUCAGUCGACCAUAUUCAAAUCCGGGGUUGACUUCAAGAACAACAAUGUUUUGGUGGUUGUCUCUGGGAAUUCUGGCAUGGAAAUUGCUUUGGAUCUGGCAAACGAUGGUGCAAAGACUUCAAUCAUUGUUCAAAGCCCGGUAACUUACUGUUGGAGUUGGAGUAGCCAAAUUAUUUGAUGCAAGAUUUGCUUAAAUUUUCCGGAAAGUUUCAGAAAUUCAGAAUUUGAGCAGAUUAGGAGAGAAUUUAUUUCAGCAGAGUCAAGGUUGUUCACUCUUGGGAAUACAUGAUACACCAACAUUACAGGCAAAGGAAAGACUUUUUCUUGAUUGAAAAUGGCAGGUACAUAUUUAACAGUGUCUUUUGGACCAUGAAGUACAUAAUGACACACCAGUAACUUUUUAUUUUCUGAAGUAGAUACGCAAUUUACAACAGUGAAUUAUGGAGCAGUAAUGUAGCUGGAAAAGAAGAAACUAAAUCUACACAAAUAAAAAUGCAACAUUUCUUUUUUUCGGUGUAGCUUACUGAAAUCAUUCAGAUUUUAAACAUGUCAAAGGUUACAUCACAGUGGAAGUUUACAAGGAUGGUUCUCCAAAGGUUGUGGAUAGAUUUCUCGAUUUAUGGUUUUAUUCGGAAUCUUAUCAAGAGGAAGCAACUAAUUGAUGCUGUUAGAUGCAUUUGCAUCUUGCAGUUAAUUGACAAGUUCUGCCAAAAAAAGAAGAAGAAUUUAUCCAACCUCUGGCUGCAUAUAUGGCUCCAUGCACUCUGAACAAAAAAGUAAUUACACUAUUGGUUCAUCACAGCCUCAACCAACCAUUACAAAGUUCAUUCAGCACAAACUGGAAGGAAAAGAGGAGGAAAGAAAUGAAAACAUAGGACAAAAUGAUCUUCUUGCACGAUGCAGAAUAAU